GAUUGCGAGCCACGCUUCACGCAACCGUGUUUGCGUACUUGUGUUUCAAGUUGCGUGGUCGUACGGAGUUAUAUUUACCAAAUUUAAAUAUAAUCGUUUUCAAAAUUAAAUCAAUAUGUCAAUAUGGCUACUGGGUGUAAAAGAUAAAUCUUAUUCUAUCUGUUCUUAAUGAGUUUUAGAUAAUUUUAGUUGUAUUUCUUUGUAAUUUUGUGUUGUACAAAGAUUAAUUUAACAUUUUCUCUGGAAGUAUUAAUUUAGAAAGAUAAUAUGCUUCAUUGGUGUUGUGUUUUGAAGUGUGAAAUGUGAUAAAGUCAAGAUAAAGUUCACUUUUAAACUGAACUAAAUAAGGUAUCUGAGAGACAACAAUGGUUAAAUGCAAUACAAUGUACAGGUUUUACUAGCGAAAUGAAAAUUUUCCUGUCCUGUCUGCUGUAAUCAUUUUAUAUCUGGAAAACCAGCCGACUUAAUAGAUAAUAACAAUCUCCAGAUUGGGUUCCUUCAAUAAAUAUGGUCUAUAAACACAAUGAAAUAAGUUCCCCAAAAUCUAAAAUGGAGUGGUAUCAAAGGAGAAUUAAAGGGAAAAAUAUUCAUAUUGAAAUUAUUUAUAAGGCACUGGACUGUCUUAAAUUCUACAAUAAUACUAGAAUCAGCUGAGAGAAGUGGUCUACAAAAAAACCAGGAAGGAAACGGAAUAUGUGGCUACGAAAGGCAAAAGAAAGGUUUACAAAGCAAAUGUGACACAUUUUUUUGAAAUAUUUAGGAAUAUCAGUAAAUUGCAUUAAAAAAAUGUAUGAAAAGAUUUUGUUCAAUAAAAAUGUUUAUAUUUA